rnacentral:rRNA from 1 species
AUUGAACGCUGGCGGCGGGCCUAACACAUGCAAGUCGAGCGGAGCGGCGGACGGGUGGGUAAUACCUAGGAAUCUGCCCGGUAGUGGGGGAUACCGUUCGGAAAGGGAAGCUAAUACCGCAUACUAUCAGAUGAGCCUAGGUCGGAUUAGCUAGUUGGUGAGGUAAUGGCUCACCAAGGCUACGAUCCGUAACUGGCCUGAGAGGAUGAUGAGUCACACUGGAACUGAGAAACGGUCCAGACUCCUACGGGAGGCAGCAGUGGGGAAUAUUGGGCAAGGGGCGAAAGCCUGACCCAGCAAUGCCGCGUGUGUGAAGAAGGUCUUCGGAUUGUAAAGCACUGUAAGUUGGGAAGCGGUACCUAAACAGAAAGCAACGGCUAACUCCGUGCCAGCAGCCGCGGUAAUUC